GUCAAGUGUAACUGGCACAGUAACAACAGUCUCGUUCAGAUGUUGUUACAGUUAGCUUGUAGCUUGCACUGUUUAAAUUCUACUAUACUUAAUUUAUGUAUUACUAUGUAACAUACAAUUGUGGUACUAAUAAAUUUCUUGUCUUGACAGCACUUGGUUAGUGCAUGUGUUGUCUUCGCAGGCAUCUCUCUAUGGGUUAUAGCCCGCGAAUGGGUAGUUCGAUAGACCUUUCCCCUUUUGAGUGAAAUUUUUAUCCAGACAAGUAUGGACAAAAAAUUCAUUGCAGCUUGAAAGAGCAUCACAAAAUUAGGGAUAUUCCGAAGUUUCAUUGCGAAAUGUUGU
rnacentral:lncRNA from 1 species